rnacentral:rRNA from 1 species
GGGCCCGCACAAGCAGUGGAGUAUGUGGUUUAAUUCGAAGCAACGCGAAGAACCUUACCAGGGCUUGACAUCCCUUGACGACGGCAGAGAUGCCGUUUCCCUUCGGGGCAAGGAGACAGGUGGUGCAUGGUUGUCGUCAGCUCGUGUCGUGAGAUGUUGGGUUAAGUCCCGCAACGAGCGCAACCCCUACUGCCAGUUGCCAGCAUUAAGUUGGGCACUCUGGCGGGACUGCCGUUGACAAAACGGAGGAAGGUGGGGAUGACGUCAAAUCAUCAUGCCCCUUAUGUCCUGGGCUACACACGUACUACAAUGGCCGCAACAGAGGGCUGCAACGUCGCGAGGCGAAGCGAAUCCCAAAAAGCGGUCUCAGUUCGGAUUGCAGGCUGAAACCCGCCUGCAUGAAGUCGGAAUUGCUAGUAAUGGCAGGUCAGCAUACUGCCGUGAAUACGUUCCCGGGCCUUGUACACACCGCCCGUCACACCAUGAGAGUCUGUAACACCCGAAGUCAGUAGUCUAACCGCAAGGAGGACGCUGCCGAAGGUGGGACCGAUGAUUGGGGUG